UACGGCCACAUUACAUUGAAACACCAGUUACCGUACAAUCACCGAAGUUAAGAAACAUUGACUCUGGUCAGUACCUCGAUGAGAGAGCGCUUGGGAAUACCAGGUACUGUAAG